GCUUUAUUCUUCAGCAUUUAGAUAGAGACUGUGCCUUGACGGACUCGAUCAGCCUACAAUGACAGACAAGAUGGCCAAAGAAAAUUCUUGAAUGGACCGCCUGAACUUGCAUAAGUAAUUAGCCUGCAGCGCACCAUUCACAAAAAAAAAUCUCAGACUACCGCCCCAGCCUGUUCCAGAGAGAUAGCGAUCGGCCUGAAAACACGGACAAACUGCAGGGAAUUAGCGGCGUACGGCGGAGGUUGGCAAGACACCGAUACACGCACAAGCAGAUAAACUGCUUCUAUCCCUGCACUUCAGAAUUAUCUGGGCCUCCAGUGUUUUCUCACGGAUCUCUCCCAUUGGUCGCCUGUCUAUUUCAUCGGCUCCAAUUUCCAUCCGUCAAUCACUCACUCCUCUACUUGAUUAAAGAUACAGGCUUUCUUCCGCGAAGACUAACCUAGUUUCUAACGCCUCGGUAAAUGGGAGAUGUGGAGGGGGGGAGUCUAAAAUAAUAUGGCGUUAAUCAUAUAUAAUUCUGAACAUCACUAUCCUUGAAAGAGAAGACGGAGACAUUCGUGGUUUAAAUCAGGUUGCAGAGUCUUAGAUUGUAACCGAGCACAGCUUCACCUCAAUGCAAAGUCCAGGUUUAAAAUCAGUGCGGGCGAAGCAGUACUUCUUUUCUGGGACCGGAGCGUACAUAAAUCUGGCUGCAUAAUUUCUGCCUCACAUCGAUCAUUUAUUCAAGUUAUCCGAGCCUGCCUGAAAGCUUCUCCAUGUUGCCCGACGCGUUUCGCCACAUCUGUUAUGAACCAGAGAACACUAUUUUGUGCAUAAUAUUUGGAAAUUAAGCGUUAAGAGUAAAGCAGGAAACUAAAAUCGGAAAGUACAGCAACAAUUGCAACAUUUCUGACCUGGUCGUGCUUAAUAAUUGCAGGACUCACAAACCCCGAGCAACAAUGACGUUUCCUACAAGUCUGCAGAUGUGUUUUUGUUUUAUUAUUUUAUAACGUAUAUGCUGUUUUGCUCUUGGCAACUGCAACGCUUGCAUGUUCAAGCGUUGCUUUUGGCAAAAAAGAGGAACUUUGGUUCGAGAAAUACAAAGUGAGUUAAAAGUUCUGCGGUUGAGCGUUUUCGACUUCAUAAAAAAAAUACCCUCGUCUCUUUCCCACUGUUUCUUUAAUAUAAUCUGAGCAACAGUUUUCAAGCUGUCUAAUCAGGCAGGAAGAAUGGUUCCCGCAGCAACGGGGGGGUGGCACUUUGUGCAUGACCAGACAGAUUUGCAUGGCUUUGGUGAGUGAACCAAUGGUGCGGGCUGCUUUUCAGCUGAUUGAUAUGUUUAUUCAUAGAGCAACAGUUUCCCUCCAGGCGAAAGAAUGGGAGAACGAGAGAGCGAGAGAGAGAAAGGAGCCCUUUCAAAGUGAGAGAAGGCGAGUUUAUUUCACAAGAGAGAGGAGGAUGAAAAGUCAACAAAACCAGACAGCAAGAGGUUGUGGGGGAGGUACAUUCAUUCACAAAAAAAUAACAGGUAUCCCUGAGCCUUGAAAUUAAUAGACCUGUCAAGCUUCAGGUUGUUAUAGAUGGAGUGCUGAACAAAAAUGGAAAUUAAAUAUUCUUCAGACACUGCAACACGACACUUCUGAAUAUUUUAAAUUUAAUUACUAGUUACUGAUUUUUUAUCUUUUAUCACUAAUUUAAAUGUUACAAAUUAAUUGGAAUUUUGUCAUAGUUAUUUCUUUUAUUUUGAAGAGCACUUAUUUGUCCAGAAUGUUAAAGCAUACAGUGUAAAUUACAUGUCAAUAAUUUUGUAAACAACUAUUAAGAGAAUUAACGUUAGACCUAUUUUCCUCUCCUUUUACGGUUCUCAUUAAAAUGUGAAAUUCCUUUAUGUGAUCACUGUGUUAUAAAGUAGUUUAUUUAAACGGGUGGUCAUUUGCAACUAAUUCAAAAUUUGAAUCAAAUAUCCGACAAUGCUCAGUAAGUUAGUUACUUGACAUAAGGCCACACAUGUCACUUAAAUAAGGUUCCAGUUAUAUUUGGCUAAGCUUUCAAGGAUUUGAGGAUGGAAAAAACCCACCAAGAUUCUGCUUGGGUUUGUGUCCUUUUUUUGCCUUCCACGGCAAAUUUUCCUCCUUCAAAUGGUCACAAUCAUCUUUAGGAUUUAUUAGCUAGCUGGAGAUAUAGGUCUGAACUGAUAAACAUGAAGUAACCCGAGCAUUUUAGAUCUAUGCAUGAAUAUAAAAUUAACCAACUACCAUUAAAAUAAGCAUCUAAGUUGGUAAUAUCCAAUUUUUUGACUGAAAAUCAAUUAUCCUUAAUUAAAAUGUCUUUAACUCCAAGUUAGUGACUUUUGAAAACAAUCGCAGUUUCUUAAAGAUGGUCCCCAAAGUUAGUUCUAUGCAUCUUCCGACUAUCUGCCUGUGUGUCACAUUAGAUCCUCCCAAUAACAGCACUAAUUACUGACAACAGGGGUUUAAUUGAUAGGCCGAGCAGCUUGCCUCAGAUGUAACUUUUAAAACAAUUUGAGGGACUUUCGCUUACACAUUCAAGCUCAAAGUUAUAGUUUUCUGCAAUAGAAAAUGAGCCUCUAUUUUACCAUGCGAAAAAGUAAUAUCACUGUUAUCUACAUGUCUUGCUAUGUUUAGUUGCAUAUUUGGGCAUGCAAGAAAUGACAAAGUACUAACAGCUGAAUGUUACGAAAUUAUUAUGCUUAUGGCUCAAAACAGCUGCCUUUUUUUUCUUGUCUUCCACCUGCCUCUGCCUUCCAAUUCGAUCCUUCGCAGUCGCUCAUCUGGCUCCAUCUGCCCGUCAUCCUUCACCUCUAAAUGGUCCACUUAUCACCAACUGGCUCCUGUCUCACCUUUCCCCUCUCCUUUUUAAACUAGCUCUCUCCCCUCUCUACUCCAUCCUGACUCAACCGAAACGUCGAUAAUUAUUUUUCUCUCCAUCGCUGCUGCUGAACCUGCUGCAUUCCUCCAGCAAUUUGUUUUUCUUUCCUCUCUGUAUUCCUUCAGCUUUUGACCAUUACUGGACUACAUAUCGAGAGGCAUCACUAAAUUAAAUCGCUAUUUUUGUUUUCUUUGUAGGAUCAAGGUACCCGCGUUAGUCCUAAUGUUUGCAGUCACUGAAAUAUCAAAGUUUUCCAGUGAAAUGCCUUUGCAAAUGUAUUUUUAACUAUUAUAAAGGAUUUA